rnacentral:rRNA from 1 species
CGGACGGGUGAGUAACGCGUGGAUAACCUGCCUCACACUGGGGGAUAACAGUUAGAAAUGGCUGCUAAUACCGCAUAAGCGCACAGUACCGCAUGGUACGGUGUGAAAAACCCAGGUGGUGUGAGAUGAAUCCGCGUCUGAUUAGCCAGUUGGCGGGGUAACGGCCCACCAAAGCGACGAUCAGUAGCCGACCUGAGAGGGUGACCGGCCACAUUGGGACUGAGACACGGCCCAA